rnacentral:rRNA from 1 species
AGCGAACGUUUGCGGCGGGCCUAACACAUGCAAGUCGAACGCACUAGCAAUAGUGAGUGGCGCACGGGUGCGUAACACGUGGGUAAUCAACCCUUCAGCUUGGGAUAACGACUUGAAAGGGUCGCUAAUACCGGAUACGGCGAGAGAGGCUUCGGCAUUUCUCGAGAAAGCCUCGCAAGGGGCACUGAAGGACGAGCCUGCGGCCCAUCAGCUAGUUGGUGAGGUAAGAGCUCACCAAGGCGAAGACGGGUAGCUGGUCUGAGAGGAUGAUCAGCCACACUGGAACUGAGACACGGUCCAGACUCCUACGGGAGGCAGCAGUGGGGAAUAUUGCGCAAUGGGCGAAAGCCUGACGCAGCCACGCCGCGUGAGCGAUGAAGGCCUUCGGUCGUAAAGCUCUGUGGGGAGGAGACGAAGAAAGACCCGUGAAGAGCGGGCCGUUGACGGUAUCUCCUUAGCAAGCACCGGCUAACUACCGUGCCAGCAGCCGCGG